CCUAGCAUCAGUGAAUGACCUGUUGCAGUGCUUUCAUUGAAGUGUUCUUCAUUCCCUCAGCAAUAUGAUUUUAUAGCUGAGGUGGUUACCAGUUUAAGAAGUGAGAACUUCUUCACUGACUGAAAUUUGCAUAUCAAUCCAAAUCAUUGUGCUUGUUUACUAUUUUUGUAGACGUCAUUCUUCAAAAGUGCUGCAUCUUUCAUAGUCAAGGAGGACAAAGACAUCUUUCCUGCAGGUGGUGACCAUGUGGAUAAUAGGAUCAUAGACAAAUGGUGGUUCCAUCUACAGCAUCACCAAAAUGCUGUUGUUACUGCUUCUUUCUGGGAUCUUCUUGCAUCUUUGCUUCUAAAGGGGCACACCUUUUAUAGAAGUAUGUCCAGGAAUAGAAGUGACCUGCUUUUUCGCAAGUAAUUGCCUGGAAUGUUUUUAUGUACUUCUCUGCACUCUCAAUACAUUUCAUGCUUCCCUCUA
rnacentral:antisense_RNA from 1 species